UUCAGGUAUGACCUAAAUCAAGUCCCUUACGAUUAUACAGUGGAAGUGACAGAUAGAUUCAAGGGGUUAGAUCUGAUAGACAGUGCCUGAAGAUCUACGGACAGAAGUUUGUAACACUGAACAGGAGGUAGUGACCAAAACCAUCCCUAAG